AAAUUGAAGAGUUUGAUCAUGGCUCAGAUUGAACGCUGGCGGCAGGCCUAACACAUGCAAGUCGAACGGUAACAGGAAGCAGCUUGCUGCUUUGCUGACGAGUGGCGGACGGGUGAGUAAUGUCUGGGAAACUGCCUGAUGGAGGGGGAUAACUACUGGAAACGGUGGCUAAUACCGCAUAAUGUCGCAAGACCAAAGAGGGGGACCUUCGGGCCUCUUGCCAUCAGAUGUGCCCAGAUGGGAUUAGCUUGUUGGUGAGGUAACGGCUCACCAAGGCGACGAUCCCUAGCUGGUCUGAGAGGAUGACCAGCCACACUGGAACUGAGACACGGUCCAGACUCCUACGGGAGGCAGCAGUGGGGAAUAUUGCACAAUGGGCGCAAGCCUGAUGCAGCCAUGCCGCGUGUAUGAAGAAGGCCUUCGGGUUGUAAAGUACUUUCAGCGGGGAGGAAGGUGUUGCGGUUAAUAACCGCAGCAAUUGACGUUACCCGCAGAAGAAGCACCGGCUAACUCCGUGCCAGCAGCCGCGGUAAUACGGAGGGUGCAAGCGUUAAUCGGAAUUACUGGGCGUAAAGCGCACGCAGGCGGUCUGUCAAGUCGGAUGUGAAAUCCCCGGGCUCAACCUGGGAACUGCAUUCGAAACUGGCAGGCUUGAGUCUUGUAGAGGGGGGUAGAAUUCCAGGUGUAGCGGUGAAAUGCGUAGAGAUCUGGAGGAAUACCGGUGGCGAAGGCGGCCCCCUGGACAAAGACUGACGCUCAGGUGCGAAAGCGUGGGGAGCAAACAGGAUUAGAUACCCUGGUAGUCCACGCCGUAAACGAUGUCUACUUGGAGGUUGUGCCCUUGAGGCGUGGCUUCCGGAGCUAACGCGUUAAGUAGACCGCCUGGGGAGUACGGCCGCAAGGUUAAAACUCAAAUGAAUUGACGGGGGCCCGCACAAGCGGUGGAGCAUGUGGUUUAAUUCGAUGCAACGCGAAGAACCUUACCUGGUCUUGACAUCCACAGAACUUUCCAGAGAUGGAUUGGUGCCUUCGGGAACUGUGAGACAGGUGCUGCAUGGCUGUCGUCAGCUCGUGUUGUGAAAUGUUGGGUUAAGUCCCGCAACGAGCGCAACCCUUAUCCUUUGUUGCCAGCGGUCCGGCCGGGAACUCAAAGGAGACUGCCAGUGAUAAACUGGAGGAAGGUGGGGAUGACGUCAAGUCAUCAUGGCCCUUACGACCAGGGCUACACACGUGCUACAAUGGCGCAUACAAAGAGAAGCGACCUCGCGAGAGCAAGCGGACCUCAUAAAGUGCGUCGUAGUCCGGAUUGGAGUCUGCAACUCGACUCCAUGAAGUCGGAAUCGCUAGUAAUCGUGGAUCAGAAUGCCACGGUGAAUACGUUCCCGGGCCUUGUACACACCGCCCGUCACACCAUGGGAGUGGGUUGCAAAAGAAGUAGGUAGCUUA
rnacentral:rRNA from 1 species